UAUGGCGCGGCCGCCUCGUUCACUCCACUUCCCCCUUCUAGUACACUGUAUCCAUGGUUGAUCCAGUGGUGUGCAACAACUGGUAGGUGUUCUGUGCGCUCUUACCACAGAACACCUACGAGCUCUAACUCUUUGCGCAAAGGCGCGCAUUGCGCUCGGUCGUAGGUGUUCUGUGGCUCGGUGUUGUGCGGUCAUCGCUUGUUGGACGGAGUUCCUGACGUUGUUGCGUGUUCUUCAUCGUGAUUUUGACAGUGUGCACAGGAUGUUGGUGUGCCACGUGGAUUCCCAUGACCAACUUACGUUUCAUUCGCAAGAACGGUUGGGAUUUGCAAGAAUAGCCAGACUUACGGACCUCACAGAGGCUUUCACGUGCUGCAGUCUUGGGCAAAGGUCAUGCAUCACUGCGGCCACCAUUGGACACGGUAACGUUUUCCUCGAACCAUUUCCAACGAGGAUGUGUUCAACUUACAUUGCUGCCCAGUUGGACGAUGCUACGAAGUCGUAAGUACGUUUCUUGGCAUUUAUUUCUUUGCUGUGGAAUACUAUCACACCAAAGCAGGAAAAAGCUUGAUGUGAAAGUUCGUGUAGUUUCAAACCAAAGACUGCUGUGCAAAACUGGGUCAUUUGGUUGUACAGUGGCCAUUUUUUCCGAUUGAAGCUUGUUGAUAGAGUUUUCUGGGAAUCGGAGAGUGAAACGUGUCAUCCAUAAAAAUGUAUGAGCAAUGCUCUGUGUACAGCAUCGUGCGUGAAACAUUGGAAGCUCCACAGGGCAACACUGCUACCAAUGGCAGCAAGGUGGCUUUGUUUUUCUGUGGGAGGCCAUGUGACUGCAUGAGGGUGGGCACACCUGAUGAGCAUGCUGACCGUGCUAUGACCAGUAACCAAACAUGUCACAUAUAAAUAUCCUGUAACAUUUGAAGACUACUUACAACAACCAUUCAACAAAAAUCUGAAUUCCUCGUACAAAAAUUUAUUUAAUAGUUUUUUCGCAAACUUGAGACAAGCAAAAAAGAUGUCGUACGAAAACGAAGUCCUGGAAUGCGAUAAUAACAUCUGUGCUGUGCCAAUUGCACCAUUCUGCACCAAUCUGACCUGCUGCGCCAGGCUGCGCAUAAAUGGCAAUUUCCGUGAUAAUUGUUGAUUGGAAAUGUAAACUGCCAAAUCUAGGUGAUUAUUAUUGUCGACCGAGCAACACUGAGCAUUAUUUAUACAAAGGAUGUGGCCGCAUCCAAUGUUACUAGAUUCUUCUUCAAUUUGCAAACUCUGCUGAGACAAGGCGGCGAAACGCGGCCCCUUUCGUUUCCCGCUCCCUAGGUGGCGUUUCCGAUGCCAUUUGACUGGUUGUCGCGACGUAAUGGAUCUUGAACAAUGUUAAACGGAGUUCUUACGGUUAAUUUGGCGUUGUGGGAGUUAUUUUCCAUGAUAGUGCACUAAGGUUAUUACGAGUGGGCAAUUAAAGCACUAGUUGUGCGGCUAAUGCUGUUCCACAUGGCGGAGAUGGAAGUGCGAUGCCUGAAUCUUGCGGGCAUUGUGUUAAUUUAGCCGUAUUGCGUUCUUGUUCUUUAAAAUUCUACCGUAUAUAUUAAAGAACAGUUGCAGUGGGCUUAAGGGUAAAGGCUGGAGGACUUCAAUUCAGGUGCAUGUUAGAGAAACCACAGGUGGCGAAAUUUUUCAAAGCUCUUCAACCCGACGUGCCUCGUAAUCAUAUAACCUUAGUUAUUGUUAUAUCAUGAGGCACAGACUACAUUCAUCUGAUGCCGCCGGAGAUGUUGGAAGUGUAAAGCCCAGAACAACUUGUUUCAUUUCAGAUAGCUCAAAUGUACGAUCCGAACAUUUUUUUUUCAAAGAAAGAUAACACACGAAUUCAAUAAAUGCGUGUCCCUUAUAAGGCUACAGAAUGCAUAAUAGAAUGAGUUCAGCAAAGUCUUAUUGAACACAAUUAAUUGAACGCUACAACAAA
rnacentral:lncRNA from 1 species